rnacentral:rRNA from 1 species
GACGAACGCUGGCGGCAUGCCUAACACAUGCAAGUCGAGCGGACAGCUUCGGAUGGUAGCGGGGGGUGGGUGAGUAACGCGUGGGAACGUGCGCUGUGCAUCGGAAGAGCCUCCGGAAACGGGAAGUAAUACCGGAUGUAGACAUCGGAGGAAAGAUUUAACGGCAAAGUAGCGGCCCGCGUUGUAUUAGGGAGUUGGUGGGGUAAUGGCCUACCAAGGCGACGAGUCAGAGCUGGGUUGAGAGGAUGGUCAGACACACCCGGACUGAGGCACAGCCCAGAAUCCUACGCGAGGGAGCAGUGGGGAAUGUUAGAAAAUGGGGGAAGUCCUGAUCUCGCCAUGCCGGGAGAGCGCUGAAGGCCUUAGGGUGGUAAUGUUCUUUUAACGGAGAAGACAAUGACGGUACCUGGAGAAGAAGCCCCGGCUAACUACGUG